rnacentral:rRNA from 1 species
GAUGAACGCUGGCGGCGUGCCUAAUACAUGCAAGUCGAGCGAACGGACGAGAAGCUUGCUUCUCUGAUGUUAGCGGCGGACGGGUGAGUAACACGUGAAUAACCUACCUAUAAGACUGGGAUAACUUCGGGAAACCGGAGCUAAUACCGGAUAAUAUUUUGAACCGCAUGGUUCAAAAGUGAAAGACGGUCUUGCUGUCACUUAUAGAUGGAUCCGCGCUGCAUUAGCUAGUUGGUAAGGUAACGGCUUACCAAGGCAACGAUGCAUAGCCGACCUGAGAGGGUGAUCGGCCACACUGGAACUGAGACACGGUCCAGACUCCUACGGGAGGCAGCAGUAGGGAAUCUUCCGCAAUGGGCGGAAGCCUGACGGAGCAACGCCGCGUGAGUGAUGAAGGUCUUCGGAUCGUAAAACUCUGUUAUUAGGGAAGAACAUAUGUGUAAGUAACUGUGCACAUCUUGACGGUACCUAAUCAGAAAGCCACGGCUAACUACGUGCCAGCAGCCGCGGUAAUACGUAGGUGGCAAGCGUUAUCCGGAAUUAUUGGGCGUAAAGCGCGCGUAGGCGGUUUUUUAAGUCUGAUGUGAAAGCCCACGGCUCAACCGUGGAGGGUCAUUGGAAACUGGAAAACUUGAGUGCAGAAGAGGAAAGUGGAAUUCCAUGUGUAGCGGUGAAAUGCGCAGAGAUAUGGAGGAACACCAGUGGCGAAGGCGACUUUCUGGUCUGUAACUGACGCUGAUGUGCGAAAGCGUGGGGAUCAAACAGGAUUAGAUACCCUGGUAGUCCACGCCGUAAACGAUGAGUGCUAAGUGUUAGGGGGUUUCCGCCCCUUAGUGCUGCAGCUAACGCAUUAAGCACUCCGCCUGGGGAGUACGACCGCAAGGUUGAAACUCAAAGGAAUUGACGGGGACCCGCACAAGCGGUGGAGCAUGUGGUUUAAUUCGAAGCAACGCGAAGAACCUUACCAAAUCUUGACAUCCUUUGACAACUCUAGAGAUAGAGCCUUCCCCUUCGGGGGACAAAGUGACAGGUGGUGCAUGGUUGUCGUCAGCUCGUGUCGUGAGAUGUUGGGUUAAGUCCCGCAACGAGCGCAACCCUUAAGCUUAGUUGCCAUCAUUAAGUUGGGCACUCUAAGUUGACUGCCGGUGACAAACCGGAGGAAGGUGGGGAUGACGUCAAAUCAUCAUGCCCCUUAUGAUUUGGGCUACACACGUGCUACAAUGGACAAUACAAAGGGCAGCGAAACCGCGAGGUCAAGCAAAUCCCAUAAAGUUGUUCUCAGUUCGGAUUGUAGUCUGCAACUCGACUACAUGAAGCUGGAAUCGCUAGUAAUCGUAGAUCAGCAUGCUACGGUGAAUACGUUCCCGGGUCU